GAUAGAAAUAGAGAGACAGAGAAUGGAGAAGGAGAGAGAGAUCAGGAGAUCAAAAACUGCAGUUUGAAAUCAAGAAUGAAAAUAUGUCUCUCACUUCCUGUCAGAUUUUCUGCCAUCACCGUAAACCUCCACUCCCUACCGGACCAUCAGAAUCGCUACUGGGGACAAGAACGGAGCACCCCAGAACUCUAUCAAAGCUUGAGGCAAAGAGCGUUUGGGAUUAGAGGAUGACUUCAUCAGUUUGAGAUACUAAAACUUAUGUUUGAUGACCCACUUCAGGUGUUGGAUGGAAGUGUGUUAUUUACACAAGGGAGAAAACAACUUGGAUCUUGGGUGCUCCUAUAACUCUUUGGUGUAAAUUUCUACACAAAUCUGCCAAUUAGUGUGCAUCCUCUAUUACUGGGUUUGGUGUACUAAACUUCGGCUGAAACAAAAAGACUUAGGCUAUGCAACACAUCAGAGGUUCACUAUUAUAUGCUUGAAAAGAAUUGAUGAUUAUUGAAUUUGUUUACCGUAAAAAAACCUUGGAAAGGCUUUUUGGUUUGGUAUAUGAGCAUUAUUUGGGGACAGCUAGAUUUGUUGGAUAUCGGUAAUGAUUGAUUGGAAGUGCUAACUUGGGGGAUGUGUAAAGCCUUGGAAUUUGCCAAGCAUUUGUCAAUAUGAGACCUAGAGGUGCAUCGCAUUCUUUUCAGGUGACACAACAUACUCAACUCAUGUACUUGGAGAGAAGGUGGAAGCAAAUGGGAUUGGGAAGAAGGAGGCCAAGGUGAACUGAGGUGAAAGGUGGCUUAUUAGAAAUAGGCUCCAGAGAUUAAGAACAAAUGUCCUAUCAAAUUAUCAUUUACAACAAACCCUUGAUGAAUAUCCUCCUCAAUGUACUGACUCGACUUUGAAGAUUAGUCCCAAAUAUUUAUACAACGAUAUUAUAACAAUUCAUUGGAUAUAUUUGCACUAUUUUCUAAAUGAUUUCCACUGUAAUAAAUUGUUAUUAUUGGUUUCUCUUAUUUCUAAGUAAGUUAUGAUGUCUGUUAGUUGAUGACAAGUACAUCAAGUUUAAAUUUUUAUGUCAAUCUUCUUGCUCAAAGUAAGUCAAGCUUUAAUUGCUUUGAAGAUAUUGGAUGGUUUUGAAAA